GGAUGUGAGCGCAAUCUGGCUGCCACUUGUUACCCCAGUUGAUCUCCAGGGUUGAUUUGGCUGAUCUGGCUGGCUAAGCAGGUGUCCCCUUCCUCCCUCCCCGCUCCAUGUGCAUCCUUCCCGAGAGUGUGCAGCUGGGGGAUGGGUGCCCAUGAGGCAGUGAGAACGACCCCCACCCCACCCCAACAGAGGAGGGUCGGUCUUUGGUCAGGGGGUACGAGUAGCUGCACUCCCCUGCUAGACACUCCAGACAAGCUCUCAAAUAACAAAUUCAAUCAGAGGAGAUAAAGUGGACCAGAAGUGUUGGCAAAAAUCUCAAGCACAAACGCUGCUGAGAAUGAGAAUGGUCAGCAUGUUUCCUGAA
rnacentral:snRNA from 1 species